rnacentral:misc_RNA from 1 species
AAAUGCGAUAAGUAAUGUGAAUUGCAGAAUUCAGUGAAUCAUCGAAUCUUUGAACGCACAUUGCGCCCGCCAGUAUUCUGGCGGGCAUGCCUGUCCGAGCGUCAUUUCAACCAUCAAGUCCCCGGGCUUGUGUUGGGGACCUGCGGCUGCCCGCAGGCCCUGAAAACCAGUGGCGGGCUCGCUGUCACACCGAGCGUAGUAGCAAUCACCUCGCUCAGGGCGUGCUGCGGGUUCCGGCCGUUAAACAGCCUUACAAAACCCAAGGUUGACCUCGGAUCAGGUAGGAAGACCCGCUGAACUUAAGC